UCGAGCGAGUCUGCCUUGAGAUCGGAGUGCUUGCACUCUGUGAAACAGUAUAGGGUUAGCGGCGGACNNNNNNNNAACACGUGGGUAACCUGCCCAAGAGAUCGGGAUAACACCUGGAAACAGAUGCUAAUACCGGAUAAUAACAGAUGAUGCCUAUCAACUGUUUAAAAGAUGGUUCUGCUAUCACUCUUGGAUGGACCUGCGGUGCAUUAGCUAGUUGGUAGGGUAACGGCCUACCAAGGCGAUGAUGCAUAGCCGAGUUGAGAGACUGAUCGGCCACAUUGGGACUGAGACACGGCCCAAACUCCUACGGGAGGCAGCAGUAGGGAAUCUUCCACAAUGGACGCAAGUCUGAUGGAGCAACGCCGCGUGAGUGAAGAAGGGUUUCGGCUCGUAAAGCUCUGUUGUUGGUGAAGAAGGACAGGGGUAGUAACUGACCUUUGUUUGACGGUAAUCAAUUAGAAAGUCACGGCUAACUACGUGCCAGCAGCCGCGGUAAUACGUAGGUGGCAAGCGUUGUCCGGAUUUAUUGGGCGUAAAGCGAGUGCAGGCGGUUCGAUAAGUCUGAUGUGAAAGCCUUCGGCUCAACCGGAGAAUUGCAUCAGAAACUGUCGAGCUUGAGUACAGAAGAGGAGAGUGGAACUCCAUGUGUAGCGGUGAAAUGCGUAG
rnacentral:rRNA from 1 species